AACGAACGCUGGCGGCAGGCUUAACACAUGCAAGUCGAACGAGCUGGGGGAUCCUGCUCCUGAUGCUAGUGGCGCACGGGUGAGUAAUACGUGGGAAUAUGCCCUUUAGUACGGGAUAACCAAGGGAAACUUUGGCUAAUACCGCAUACGCCCUUCGGGGGAAAGAUUUAUAGCUACAGGAUUAGCCCGCGCCUGAUUAGGUAGUUGGUGAUGUAAUGGCGCACCAAGACGACAAUCAGUAGCUGGUCUGAGAGGAUGAGCAGCCACACUUGGACUGAGACGCAGCCGAGACUACUACAGGAGGGAGCAGUGGGGGAUAUUGGACAGUGGGGGCAGCCCUGAUCCAGCCAUGCCGGGUGAGUGAAGAAGGCCUUCGGGUUGGAAAGCUCUUUCGACGGGGACUGUGAUGACGGUACCCGUAUAAGAAGCCCCGGCAAACUUCGUG
rnacentral:rRNA from 1 species